rnacentral:rRNA from 1 species
GACGAACGCUGGCGGCGUGCUUAACACAUGCAAGUCGAACGGAAAGGCCCUGCUUUUGUGGGGUGCUCGAGUGGCGAACGGGUGAGUAACACGUGAGUAACCUGCCCUUGACUUUGGGAUAACUUCAGGAAACUGGGGCUAAUACCGGAUAGGAUCUCCUGCUGCAUGGUGGGGGUUGGAAAGUUUCGGCGGUUGGGGAUGGACUCGCGGCUUAUCAGCUUGUUGGUGGGGUAGUGGCUUACCAAGGCUUUGACGGGUAGCCGGCCUGAGAGGGUGACCGGCCACAUGGGGACUGAGAGACGGACCAGAAGCCUACGGGAGGCAGCAGUGGGGAAUAUUGCACAAUGGGCGGAAGCCUGAGGCAGCAACGCCGCGUGCGGGAUGACGGCCUUCGGGUGGUAAACCGCUGUCGCAUGUGACGAAGCGUGAGUGACGGUAAUGGGUAAAGAAGCACCGGCUAACUACGUG